GACGAACGCUGGCGGCGUGCUUAACACAUGCAAGUCGAACGAAGUGGCGAACGGGUGAGUAACGCGUAAUCAACCUGCCCUUCAGAGGGGGACAACAGUUGGAAACGACUGCUAAUACUCCAUAGCGAGGGUUGAGACUAUAUCGUAUAAGCUAGUCGGUGGGGUAACGGCCUACCGAGGCUAUGACGCGUAACUGGUCUUAGAGGAUGAUCAGUGACAUUGGAAGUGGGACACGGUCCAAACUCCUACGGGAUGGAGCAAUGGGGAAUAUUGCGCAGUGGGGGAAGCCCUGACGCAGCUACGGCGCGUGGAGGAUGACACUUUUCGGGGCGUAAACUCCUGUUGUUAGGGAAGCGGUACCGGACGAAUAAGCACCGGCUAACUACGUGCCAGCAGCCGCGGUAAUUC
rnacentral:rRNA from 1 species